rnacentral:rRNA from 1 species
UUAGGAAUUUUGCGCAAUGGGAGCAAUCCUGACGCAGCAACGCCGCGUGGGUGAUGAAGGCCUUCGGGUCGUAAAGCCCUGUCAGGUGGGAAGAAUGUCCCGGAACUGAACAGGUUUCGGGAGUGACGGUACCACCAGAGGAAGCACCGGCUAACUCCGUGCCAGCAGCCGCGGUAAUACGGAGGGUGCAAGCGUUAUUCGGAAUUACUGGGCGUAAAGCGCGUGUAGGCGGUCCUGCAAGUCUGAUGCGAAAGCCCCGGGCUUAACCCGGGAAGUGCAUUGGAAACUGCAGGUCUUGAGUACUGGAGAGGAUGGGGGAAUUCCCGGUGUAGAGGUGAAAUUCGUAGAGAUCGGGAGGAAUAUCAGUGGCGAAGGCGCCCAUCUGGACGGUAACUGACGCUGAGAUGCGAAAGCGUGGGGAGCAAACA